rnacentral:piRNA from 1 species
UGCUGGCACUGCGAUUGGCGACA